GUGGCUGGGAGAGCUGCAGAAGUGCCGAGUCCCGACCGGGGGCAGCCUCGCCGCCGCUCAGCUCGGGAAUCCCUGCCCCCCACCAGCACCUCAGUGGGGGAUACUGCAAGUUCAAGCUGGACGCGCCCUCCCGGCCCUGCCGGCUGCUGGCUCUGCAGUUUUCCAAAUGUGGAUGAUGCCGCGAGCCAAGAGAAAACUCCACGGCACCCCCGCCGGAGCCGCACGGCGCCGGCACCCACACGGCGCCGGCACCCGCAGCACCCACCUCGCCGGCAGGCACACCCCCACCGCGGUGCCCGGCAAGUUUGCAGGGGCCGUCCCGGCGGCCCAGCGGUGGUGAUGGGCUGAGCAGGACUCACCGCGGAGCCCAGGGCACCCCUGGGGCCGGGCUGGUGACAGCGGCAGCAGCGGCGGGCGCAGGGUCGCGGCUCCCUAGGAGAUGCUGCAGCGGCGGCAGCACCAGCCACCUCCUCCGGGAGCCAAUCGCGAAUGCAGGGGUGGGGGCCGAAGCUCGAUGCGUCCGCACUUGGUGGGGGCAGAGAGAGAAAGAAGACACCAGGCACCCCCUCUCCACACCCCUGCCCUUCCCCCAGCCCUCCUGCAGCAGCGCAGACUUAGCAGGAGGAAGAUCUUGAGAGAGAGAGAGAGAGAGAGAGAGAGAGAGAGAGAGAGAGAAGGCGCUGGUGCAGAGUUAGGGAGAGGCGGCCGAGCUGCACACCUUGAGCCCCGGCCUCCUCCGAAGGGAGCCCCUGCACCCCAGCGGGGUCAGCACAAGAAUUGGGGCCAGGAUCAGGUGGUGACAGAGCCACCUGGGUUUCCGGAGACUCUCAAGCCAACCCCAAGUCAUGACAAAUGCCAGUCGCCUUGGACAGAGGCAAGGCCAACCUGCUUGCCGCCCCCAGCCAGGCCCUGCCACCAAGGGGCCUGGACGCAGAGACCAGAGGCCUGAACUGGCAGACUGUCCUCACAGGCUGUGUGACGCUGGCUGGUCGUCCCAUCUCUCUGGGGCCCCACAGGACUGGGGACCAGGUCAUGGAAUGACAGUGGACCACAGUGGUCCGGGGACCCCGCUCGUUGGUGGCAGGCACAGGCCCGUGUGAUGGGGACAAUGAGCUUUGGUAUUUGUGAGUCCUGUCCAGAGCAUAGGUCCUCCUGUUCAGAAGCCACCUCAUAAAUGUCCCCAGUGCCUGCCGGACUUAGGAAGGCAUCCCCUUGUGGUUCUGGCCAGUUAGGGACACGGGGCCGGGGAGUCUAUGCCGCUCAGAACAGGCUCAGCUGCAUCUAAUCCCAGGGGAGCCCCUGAGGAGCCUGCACACCCCCCAGGCUGGCCCACAGGAGCUGAGGCAGGGCUCUCCUCCAGGUUCACCUCCUGGGCUCACGGCCCCUUCCCCACAUCCCAAGGCCGGCUCUGCAGAGUCAUGGGGAGAAGAAGCCGGAGCCCCAGCCACACUCGCCACACACGCCCACACCCACUCUGGUGUCCUCCGGCCAGCGACAGCGAGGGACAGAGGGAUGCCCCCUGCACCUGCCCAGUGCAGAGGCUUCUUGAGUGAUGCCAGGCCCUUCUCCCAGCCCUGUACACCCCGCUAAAGACCCCGGAUCUCACCAUAAAGGAGGCCAGGAGGUUUUAAGCUUCUACCUGGUCUGAGCACUUUUCUGGAAACUAAAUAGCCACUGGGCUUCCCACUGGCAGCGGGAGAGCGUGGUGUGAGGUGCGGUGUCCGAACUCCCCCUGCAAGGCCCCUCCCCUGCAGCCCACUUCCUCCUGCCUGCUGUCUCCAGGCAGGGUUGAGGGGGGCAGGCCAGGCCUGCAGCUGGGGUCAGGGGCAUAGACAGCCACAGUGGGGGAGGUGGGGAGCAGUCUGCAGGCCUGGGCAGGCGGCUCUGUAAAGGAUGCGGGUGCUCUGUGGUGGUGAGAGAGAGGGUGUGCAGCGGACGUGGCCAUAAAUCACCCUCCUCACGGCAGCCCCACACCCACGGACCAGGGCACGGGCACAGGGCCAUCUCCUUCCAGGAGAAGGGCUGGUGUGGGUGGCCAGAUCUGACGGCCCCCAGGCCGUAGGACAGAGCCAGAAGACAGAGCAGUUCCCCCGUUUACCCAUAGCACCAGCCUCACGGUAACAGCCGGCACACAGCACUUAGGCUGCCUGGUGUUCCAGAAGCUUCUGCAGGGGCCCUAUGCUGCACUCAAGGCAUCCCUAAGAGGAGAGCAUUUUGCUGUCCCCACUUUACCGAGAAGGAACCUGGGCUCAGGGUGGUUUAAGGCGUGAAUGAAUGAAGGAGCAAGCAGUAAGCCCCGACAGCAAGGCCACCACAGCCCUCGCCCCACAGGGACGCCUGAGCAAGGACCCAAGCAGGGGACAAGCAGGCUCACCCCGCCCUUGCGGGGCUGACCACGAGGCCCCGUCCGGUGGAACAUGCCAUGACGCUUCAGGAGGCUCAUGUAGCUGGCGCCGUAUGGGACAGCGGGGGAGAGAGAAAAUGCACAGCCCAGGGAAUGUGGAGACAGGCCCAGCGCCAGGCAUGGGGGCCGGAAGGAGCAGCCGGGGAGCAGAGGGCAGGGCCUGGAGUCCCGCCUUGCAGAUCUGAACCUGCCCCAGCCCCAGGACUCUGAGUGCAGCCAGAGGGGAGCCGGGCUGGAGAGUGGGGAGCACGGAGACUGUGGCCUGGAUGGUGCCAGAGCAAACAGGGGAGAGGCUGCCCCACGCAGAGGCUGCGGCACAGCCCAGAGGGUCCCGGGGCUGACUGGGUGGGGGCAGCUCCCAGCGAGAGGCCCCUGGGAUUUGGGUAAGUAGAGGCACAUGCAGACUCUGGCCACAGGGCACCUCACGCACGAGGGGAGUUCACCACACAAGCUGAGCGGAGGGCGGACGCAGGAGACCAGCGGUUUCUCGGAAGCCAAGGGCAGUCAUGGAGCCCCACGCCACAGCGCUUCCCACAGGGCCACACCAUCCGGUCUGCGGAGGGGGCUGCAUUGCCGGGAAGGACCAUCUGAUUCUGGAUUCCAGCCUCACCCUGGGCCACCGCUGAGUGUCCCAAGUGGCCCCUUAGCCCCCAGGGCCAGGCGGCAUCCCAAUCCCCUAGGGAUGUCUGUGCUCAGAAUGUGGCACACACGCCCCGGCAGGGCCAUCCUCCUCCUCCUGCACCCGCCACAGCCGUGGGUUCGGGGUCUCUAUCGUGGGCAGAAAUUCACACAGUCAAGGUGAGGGUCCCAGGAGCAGCUGUGACCAGGCCCCGGCUGCCAGGGAGAGGGGGUCUUCAGCCGACGGGGCAGACACCCUGAGAUGGACCCUCGUCCAGGGGAGGGCCCUGCCACCCACAAUUCCUUGGCAUUCCUGCACCAGCAGGACGGGCUGAGGGAGGCGCCUCGCCAGUGUCAGUGCCCAGCAUCACUGUGCCCCGGUGGAGGGGGAGGCCCUUCCGAGCCUGGGCCUGGGUGUGGAUGAGGGCAGGUCUCUCACCUCUCUGACCUCAGCUUCCUCAACUGGGAAGGGGGGCCGCAGCACCCCCUUAGGGGUGAUGAGGAAGUGGGAGCUCAGGGAGGACCCCGGGCAGGGCUGCCUCCUCACCUCUCUUCAGCUUUUGGACACUGGAGCUCAGAGGCCCAAGUGAAUGAAUGAAUGACUCAAUCAAUCAACUGAUCCAUCAAUCCACGGACCCCUGAACAGCUGGACAGCUGGGCUGUGGGCAGGACAGGGGACUCUGGCUGAAGCCGCGUUCAUAUGUGUUCAGCUUUGUGAGUGGGGCGAGGUUGAGGGCUUAUUCAGUGGGGGAGGUGCACGGCAGGGCCAGUACCCUUGGAGGGUCAGGCCACAGGGGCGGGGACACCUGCCAGGAUGCCCAACCCCAGAGGCAGUGGGAGCCGUUGGGGAGCCGUGGUCCCAGUCAGCGGUGGCUUGAUGAGGGCUGCUCCCACUUCGUCCGCAGGAUUCCAGCCGCAGCUACCCCACACCCGAGCUGUCCCUGGUCGCCCACCGUGGCCGGAGAAAGCCGCAGCAGCCAAGGUGCUCCGUGGGGAGGGUUUCUUGGGUUUCUUGAAGCCAGUAUUUCCCAUAGUAUCUUAUGUCCCAGCAGAGGCCUCCACUGUGCCCGGACCAGCGGCCCACUCAGUGAGUCGAGUGUGCACCUGGCACCCCUCUUUCUGGAAAUCCACGAACAAUGGGCUCCCAGCAGAGGACUGAGGCUGAGCAGGCCACUUCCCUGGAGCUGACCCCACAGCUGUCCUGCUCCUUCUUCGCCUUCUGCCAUGACUGUAAGCUUUCUGAGGGCUGACCAGAAGCCCAGCAGAUGCCAGCACCAUACUUCCUAUACAGCCUGCAGAACCGCGAGCCAGCUAAACCUCUCCUCAUAAAUCACCGAGCCCCAGGUUUAUCUUUACAGCAAUGCAAGACCUGACCAAUACAGCACAAGCUCCCCAAAAUAAAAAGAAAUAUUCAAACAAAUAAGCGCACAGAAGUGUUCCCAGCAGCACUAUUCACAGCAGCCAAAAGGUGGAGGAGCCACAGGCCUGUCAGCUGAUGACAGAUAAAGAAAGCAUGGCCUGUCAUCCCAGCACUUUGGGAGGCCGAGGUGGGUGGAUCACCUGAGGUCGGGAGUUCAAGACCAGCCUGGCCAACAUGGUGAAACCCAGUCUCUACUAAAAAUAUAAAAAUUAGCCGGGUGUGGUGAUGAGCGCCUGUAGUCCCAGCUACUUGGGAGGCUGAGGAACAAGAAUCGCUUGAACCCGGGAGGCAGAGGUCGCAGUGAACUGAGAUCAUGCCAUUGCUCUCCAGCCUGGGUAACAGAGUGAGACUCUGUCUCUAAAUAAAUGAAUAAAUAAAUGAAGUGCGGCAUAUCCAUGUGAGGGAAUAGCAUUCAGCCCUAAAAAGGGAUGACGCGGGGACACGAGCGGUAACACGAAGUGCCUGAAAACCCUGCUCGGCGGGAGAAGCAGACACAGAGACCGCGGGUUGCAGGAUUCCGCUGAUAGGAGAUGCACAGAGCGGGCAGCUCCAUGGAGACAGAAAGCAGAUUCCGCGGUGCGGGGGCGGGGAGAGGAACCGGAGUGACUGCUUAAUGGGCUCCAGAGCUCCUCGGUGGGGGAUGAAAGUGUCUGGGGAGUAGACAGAGGUGGCAGCUGCACAGUGUGGCAAAUGUGCUACAUGCCACCGAACCACACUUGUUAAAGUGGUCAUUGUAUGUCGUGUGAAUUUCACCUCUGUUAAAAAAAAAAAAAAGCCCAGCUCAGAGUCCAGCCCCAAACCUCUCUCAGUGACCUCUGCCCUGGGACACAGGGCCACCCAGACCGUGAGCUUGGGGCCCUUCAGGCUGCCCACUGAGGAGGGGCAGCUACUGCUGAGGUCUGACCUUGCCUCUCCUGAUGCCCCAGCCACAGUUGGGAGAGAGGCAGGGUGGGGGGUGGCUGCCCUCCUGGCCAAGGACACCGUCCCCGGGCCAGUCACAGGUUUGCCAGGGAGGGCCGUAAGACACCUCAGCAUUAGCGCUGCCCAAGCCAGUCUGCUGCUGUCAUAUUCCGUGUGUGGGGACACAGUAAUGCCCACUCCCCCUAAGGAUGUACACGUCCCAGUCCAAGAACCCGUGGCCGUGCCACCUUAUGUGGCAGCAGGGACUCUGCAGGAGGGACGGAGCAGGAUCACACUGGAUGCUCUCUGUGGGCCCAGUGUCCUCACAGGGUCCUUAGGAGAGGGGGUGGGAGGGUCAGAGUCAGGGGGAGCCUGGAAGACAUAGCACAGAUGGCUUUAAAGGAGGGGCCACGGGUGAAGGCGCGGGAACCUCCAGACCCCGGAGAGGGCAGGACCCGGAUUCUCCCCAGGGCCUCCAGCAGCCAGCCCUUUCAACACAUGGACUUUAGAUUUAUUUCACUUUUGGGACUGCAAGAGAAUAAACUGUGACUUUUGUUACAGCAGCCAUGGGAGACUCAUGACCUCGCCCCUCCCUCACACAUCUUUCCAGGAGACCCUCCCAGCCCAGACGAGCGUCGAGGGGGGACAAGCAGGGCUCCCCCGGGAGACUCCCUGUCACUGGCGUGGAGGAUGGGCCUCCUCAGAGCCUUUAAGAGGUCCCCGUGGACUCGUCCAAGCUCCCAGCAGGAGACGUAGCCUGCAGUGGUCUGCCAUCGUCCCCUCUGCCUGCCCCACACCCCAGCACACAGCUCACACAAGCAUGAGGUGUCCUGGGAAGCUCCCAGGAGGCUGUGCACAUCUGUGUGCCCCACAGACCAGAGCUGUGUGUGAAGUGCCCGUGGGCACCCAGCAUGUCCCGCAACACUACAAAAAGGAACGGGACCUCACCGUCCUCCUGCACCGUGCCUGGGAGGCUGCCUCCUGCCCAACCUCAGGGUACACAAGUGCACACGGAGCCAAACAAAUACGCACGCACUACCUGAGGGGCAGUGGGCAAAGCCUCUCUGACAGCUCAUAAAGUUCUAUUUCAUUGCCAUGAUGUUAGGGGAGAGCAAUUUGCUUCCAGCCACAGACAUCCCACUCAGAAUGGUGACAGCUUUGCUGUCGCAGACUCCAACACUCCUUGAGGCCCACGUGGCACUGCUUGGAGCCUCCAGCACGGGUCACUCAGAGGCUCUGGGUCAGCGCAGGGUGGCCUCCGGUACAACUGCACCAUCAGUGAGUCCAGCCAACCCAGAACCCCCCGGGAUGUGAGGAGGACCCCCAGGGGCAGGGGACAUACAACAGGGCCCUGGGGGCCCAGGCUGACCUCUGAGCUCUCCAUGUCCCCGCCCCAGGAUGCCAAAGACUUGCUCCUCCCGCUCCGUCCCUCUGCUCGAUGCCCCAGCUCAGUGUGGGUGUGUGCGUCGGGUGGGGGCGAUAAGUGUUUCUGUGGGUCUGCCUGCUUCUCCUCUGUAGAGGACUCACACUGACCCAUCCUAGAAGCAAAUAGAAGUCAUUUCGAGCCGGCAGAAGUGGGCAGCCUGGGCUCCUCUGAGCUGCCCGCCCCAGCCCCUUGGAGCUGCAACUUUGCUCAUCUUUGCAGGGGGCCACCGCGAUGCUGCCAGCAAAGCCCCAAGGCUCAGAGGGGACCUCAUCCCUGCGGAUUUCACCAGCAUCUCUUGCAGCUGCCUAUAGCUCCAGAGCCAAACGACGCCUGGUCCCACUCUGGGCACCUAUUCCCUGCCCCUCUCCCAGGGACUCCACAGAAGGAGGUGGCUGGGGGAGAGCUCAGAGCUUCUGCUCUCCAGGGUGGACAGCAGGGGUCCUGGGCUGUCCUGUCCAAGCCACCCAGAUGGACGCCCACACUGGGUCUUGCCUCCUCAUCAUCCACCCCACCCGAAGCUUGUAACAGCUCCCAGCAGAGGAGGCCCAAUGGCAGCGGCCGAAUUCUCAGCUCCCGGCAGAGGAGGCCCAAUGGCAGAGGCUGAAUUCUCAGCUCCCGGCAGAGGAGGCCCGAUGGCAGAGGCCGAAUUCUCAGCUCCCGGCAGAGGAGGCCCGAUGGCAGAGGCUGAAUUCUCAGCUCCCGGCAGAGGAGGCCCGAUGGCAGAGGCUGAAUUCUCAGCUCCCAGCAGAGGGGGCCCGAUGGCACUGGCCAAAUUCUCAGACUCUCAUUUUUCCCUUAGCCUUGACCUCCCACCCCCUCCCCAGGGCCCUGUUUCUAAGAACAUCCCCAGCCCCUGAUGCCCUUGGUCAUGGCAUUAGCCUAUGAUCUGCUAGGGUUAGAGGGUUCCUUCUGGGUCUCCACCCUGCACCCGGAGCCCAGCCCUGAGCCCAGGGAUGAAGGGAACAGCUUUAAUCUCCUGUGCACAUCCUCUGGGAGCCGAGGAGUGUUGAUCCGGCAGGAUCUCAGCCACAAUUAGCCGGUUCCCUCAUCCCUGCCCUAUAAAUAUUCAUUCUGGGAUUGUUAUAAAGGUGCUUUUUAUAAAAAACGCCAAACUCAUUUGGAAAGGAGCUGAAUGCUGCGCAGUGCAGGCUGCCAAGCUGAGUCCUAUUGCGGAUGGGACGCCAAGAUGGCUUUUUCUCAUGGGCCCAAGCAGGUGCUCUCUGGGGUU